CAAGGCAGAUAUUCUUAUCUGUGGAUGAGUAAAAGAUCAAGGGACAACUCUGUAGCAGGAGUUUGGCAUUACACUCCUCAGUACAUCUCUUUUACGGAGAUCGGAAGAGUGUAUUCAGAGGAGUUGGGUUCCACCUACUCUUUUCUCCGCAUUUAAUCUGUGCAGCAACAUACAGAAUUUUCUACUGUUGAUAGCUGUGGUAUACAUAAUUCUUACUGCCAAAGCAAUGAUUUAAGAGUGAGAAAGGAAUGCAAAAAUCUGCAAAAAGAGAAUGCAAAAUAUACUGACAAAACCUUGGUUCCAUCUCACACAAUUACACAAAACACAGCUUUCCAAGGGGAUUAAUAUGGGUUUAUCAGCCAGUCCCAGAGUAAGACAUUAGAAAAGUUUAUAGCAAAAGGAAAACAAAUAUUAAGAAGUCCUGGAAUAAGCCAUCUCUUGUUUCACUCUGAUGCUUACACUUGCAGAAUGUUGAUUUACCGCUGCAGCACCAGGUCUGAUCCUUCUUUGGAUUAGCACUGAAAAAAUGUAUUAGUUAGACAGUUGUAGCAAAUGAGCCUCAAGCUUUUUCUUUUUUAUUCAUGGCUGGUUAGGUGUGCGGGUCACGUUCUAGCCUCAUUAGUGAAUAGUGGCAACUUAAGUCUAGUUAUUAAUUCUCCAGAUUGCAAGCUGAUGCAACUGAAGCCCAACAGUACUGACAUAAUGUUGGCUGAGUGUAGCAGGACUUAUUCUUUUGUUUCUUCAUAAAAAAAUGUCUUGUUGAAAAAAACCCAAAAACUACUUGAAGCUAGACAGGUUCACAUGAGCUAACCUUACACCUGGUGUGUAAGGAACUGGAAAAGUUCAGUGCUUGACAAUUUCCAUUUUUAUUUUUUUAAUUUUCAGUAAUUAUUCGAGAAUUCUGGAAAGCCACAGGUCUAGUUUUUCCCUGGAGAAUCUAAAAACAAAUUUAAUAAACUGAAACACAUAAAACAUACUUCCUGUUCUCCCCAGGAAGUGAAUUUCUGCUUGAGUUCUAUGGGUUUUGCUAUCUUUAAUUACCAACACCUUUUAUUUGCAAGAUGUAAUCUCCAUCUAGUUUACUUGUAAAUGCUUCAAUAGUCGUAGCCUUCUACAAGCAUAAAUAUUGUAUUCAUCGUGUAUCAUUUCCAGGUAAAAACUUUCAGGGGACAACUAUAAAUGUUCAUUAUUUAUUAAUGUAUGACAAAAGUUGUAUUAAAA
ensembl:lncRNA